ACCAGCUCUCCGAGUGGUGUUGAUGUUUAUUGGGCCUAAAGCAUCCGUAGCUGGCUAGGUAAGUCCCUUGUUAAAUCCACCGAAUUAAUCGUUGGAUCGCGGGGGAUACUGCUUGGCUAGGGGACGAGAGAGGCAGACGGUAUUUUCGGGGUAGGGGUGAAAUGCUAGAAUACGGGGAAGAGCACCAGUGGCGAAGGCAGUCUGCUAGAACGCGCCCGACGGUGAGGGAUGAAAGCUGGGGGAGCGAACAG
rnacentral:rRNA from 1 species